GCCUGGAAUGUAAUCCCAGCUACUAGGGAGGCUGAAGCUGGUGGAUCCCUUUGAGCUUAGACGUUCUAAACCGGUUGAAUGUCUGUACUAAGUCUCGCAUCAGUAUGGUAAGCCCCAGAGAGGAAGAACACCAGGAUGCCUAAAAAGAGGCAAAUGUGCCUAGGUUGGAAAGAAAGCAGGUCAAAGUCCCUGUGCCAGUCAGUAUUGAGAUCAGUCUUGAAAGUAGCUGCUUCACUUCUAGCCUGGGUGAUAUAGGAAGGUACAAUCUUA
rnacentral:sRNA from 1 species